UACGAAGGGGGGCUAGCGUUGCUCGGAAUUACUGGGCGUAAAGCGCACGUAGGCGGAUUGUUAAGUCGGGGGUGAAAUCCCGAGGCUCAACCUCGGAACUGCCUUCGAUACUGGAAGUCUUGAGUCCGGGAGAGGUGAGUGGAACUCCGAGUGUAGAGGUGAAAUUCGUAGAUAUUCGGAAGAACACCGGUGGCGAAGGCGGCCCACUGGUCCGGUACUGACGCUGAGGUGCGAAAGCGUGGGGAGCAAACAGG
rnacentral:rRNA from 1 species